AUCCGAUUGCCCACCUGAGACCAUUUCUUCUCUUUAGUGACAACCUCAAAGCCCCCCUCACUGGAAACCACCUGGAGUGAAAAAGGAAAGAAGAACCACCUGUCCCUGCACGCCCACCUUGCUCAGUGCAUACACACCCAACAGCUUGCCAUCCACCACUGGAAUUCUGAGCGCGGAACCUUGCAGCUCCCAAAAUUUUCCCAGCUGAUCCAAGAAAUCGAGUUUGACACGGGUCAUUGCCUGGAUGAAAGAAAAUUCCGACAGUCAGGGUGCAAGCCUGCAGAUAACAUACUAUACUAAAGCAAAGAGUAAUUAA